CCUACGGGAGGCAGCAGUGAGGAGUCUUGCGCAAUGGGCGAAAGCCUGACGCAGCGACGCCGCGUGGGCGAUGAAGGCCUUCGGGUUGUAAAGCCCUUUUCUGGGGGACGAGGAAGGACGGUACCCCAGGAAUAAGUCACGGCUAACUACGUGCCAGCAGCCGCGGUAAAACGUAGGUGGCAAGCGUUAUCCGGAAUCACUGGGCGUAAAGGGUGUGUAGGUGGCUUUGCAAGUCAAAGGUAAAAUCCCAGAGCUUAACUCGGGAACUGCCUUUGAAACUGCAAAGCUUGAGGGCAGGAGAGGGAAGCGGAAUUCCCGGUGGAGCGGUAAAAUGCGUAGAUAUCGGGAGGAACACCGGAGGCGAAGGCGGCUCCCUGGACUGUCCCUGACACUGAAACACGAAAGCUAGGGGAGCAAACGGGAUUAGAUCCCCCUGUAGU
rnacentral:rRNA from 1 species